CGAGGCAUUUGUCUGACGGCC
rnacentral:misc_RNA from 1 species